rnacentral:rRNA from 2 species
UUGAAAUACCACCCUUUAAUGUUUGAUGUUCUAACGUGGACCCGUAAUCCGGGUUGCGGACAGUGUCUGGUGGGUAGUUUGACUGGGGCGGUCUCCUCCUAAAGAGUAACGGAGGAGCACGAAGGUUGGCUAAUCCUGGUCGGACAUCAGGAGGUUAGUGCAAUGGCAUAAGCCAGCUUGACUGCGAGCGUGACGGCGCGAGCAGGUGCGAAAGCAGGUCAUAGUGAUCCGGUGGUUCUGAAUGGAAGGGCCAUCGCUCAACGGAUAAAAGGUACUCCGGGGAUAACAGGCUGAUACCGCCCAAGAGUUCAUAUCGACGGCGGUGUUUGGCACCUCGAUGUCGGCUCAUCACAUCCUGGGGCUGAAGUAGGUCCCAAGGGUAUGGCUGUUCGCCAUUUAAAGUGGUACGCGAGCUGGGUUUAGAACGUCGUGAGACAGUUCGGUCCCUAUCUGCCGUGGGCGCUGGAGAACUGAGGGGGGCUGCUCCUAGUACGAGAGGACCGGAGUGGACGCAUCACUGGUGUUCGGGUUGUCAUGCCAAUGGCACUGCCCGGUAGCUAAAUGCGGAAGAGAUAAGUGCUGAAAGCAUCUAAGCACGAAACUUGCCCCGAGAUGAGUUCUCCCUGAGACUUAGAGUCUCCUGAAGGAACGUUGAAGACGACGACGUUGAUAGGCCGGGUGUGUAAGCGCAGCGAUGCGUUGAGCUAACCGGUACUAAUGAACCGUGAGGCUUAACCUU